rnacentral:tRNA from 1 species
UAGCGACUAGUUUAACAAAACAGCUAGUUUCGGCCUAGCCAAUCUCGGCCCCCACUGAGGUCGCCA